rnacentral:rRNA from 1 species
UACGGGGGGGCAAGCGUUGUUCGGAAUUACUGGGCGUAAAGGGCUCGUAGGCGGCCAACUAAGUCGGAUGUGAAAUCCCCAGGCUUAACCUGGGAACUGCAUCCGAUACUGGAUGGCUUGAAUCCGGGAGAGGGAUGCAGAAUUCCAGGUGUAGCGGUGAAAUGCGUAGAUAUCUGGAGGAAUACCGGUGGCGAAGGCGGCAUCCUGGACCGACAUUGACGCUGAGGAGCGAAAGCUAGGGGAGCAAACGGG